UGUCAGGGCUAAGCUAGUAGAGUGCAUUACUGGCACCAGAAAGAGCCCCUAUCAUCGAUUCACAUUUUAAAUAUAGCAUUGUAGCAGAGAACCUUUGAAGCUUUACUGGUGCAUUAGGUCAACUGUUGACCAUCUUAUCUUGGAGGGAUCAGCACAGACAUUACCAUUUAGAAAGAAAGGGAAAAGCUUGCCUCCCUUCUCUGUUCUGGUCCACUUCUCAGCCAAUCAGCAUUCAACCUACACUAUGUGCUGUUGGGUUUUUGGAGGAUUGCACAGGAGCACGUUUGGCAUCUGAUGAAUGUGGUGUUCCACUCCAGCUGCUCUUACCAAGGAGCAGAACAAACAGCUGGCCAAUCGCCAUCAGAUCCCUGCACUAAGCUACAGUCCAGACUCCUUCCACCCACCGGGUCAUUGAUGGCCAGCUGGCUUUCUCCAUAACUAGAAUUAAGGAUGCCAGACGUCGAGGGAGGGGAUUCCAGUCUUGUGGAGUCUUGGGAGGGAUAUGGCACUGAAGAAUGUUCUUGGGUGCCGCAGUCUGCCAUCUUGGACAAGGCGAUCGUCAGAGACUUUCACUGCAGGCACCCUGACAAGACUGGUGGGUCACUGGGAGGGUCCCGUUAAGGAGGGGUUCUGUCAUGGUCCCUCUGUCCUCCUGUGCUGGCUCAACACAUCCUAUUUCUUUCAUGUUGCUCUCUC